rnacentral:rRNA from 1 species
GUGACGAGCGGCGGACGGGUGAGUAAUGUCUGGGAAACUGCCUGAUGGAGGGGGAUAACUACUGGAAACGGUAGCUAAUACCGCAUAACGUCGCAAGACCAAAGAGGGGGACCUUCGGGCCUCUUGCCAUCAGAUGUGCCCAGAUGGGAUUAGCUAGUAGGUGGGGUAACGGCUCACCUAGGCGACGAUCCCUAGCUGGUCUGAGAGGAUGACCAGCCACACUGGAACUGAGACACGGUCCAGACUCCUACGGGAGGCAGCAGUGGGGAAUAUUGCACAAUGGGCGCAAGCCUGAUGCAGCCAUGCCGCGUGUAUGAAGAAGGCCUUCGGGUUGUAAAGUACUUUCAGCGGGGAGGAAGGCGAUGAGGUUAAUAACCUCGUCGAUUGACGUUACCCGCAGAAGAAGCACCGGCUAACUCCGUGCCAGCAGCCGCGGUAAUACGGAGGGUGCAAGCGUUAAUCGGAAUUACUGGGCGUAAAGCGCACGCAGGCGGUCUGUCAAGUCGGAUGUGAAAUCCCCGGGCUC